rnacentral:rRNA from 1 species
UACGUAGGGUGCAAGCGUUAAUCGGAAUUACUGGGCGUAAAGCGUGCGCAGGCGGCUUUGCAAGACAGAUGUGAAAUCCCCGGGCUUAACCUGGGAACUGCAUUUGUGACUGCAAGGCUGGAGUGCGGCAGAGGGGGAUGGAAUUCCGCGUGUAGCAGUGAAAUGCGUAGAUAUGCGGAGGAACACCGAUGGCGAAGGCAAUCCCCGUGGGCCUGCACUGACGCUCAUGCACGAAAGCGUGGGGAGCAAACAGG